CAACAACGUGUCAUUUAUUCUGUCCCUGCUGUGAGCCACUUACCCACCAGCAGACCUAAGUUCUAGGUCUUCAGGAGCAGCCACAUCCUACCUAGUUCCUAGGCAAAUCAUGAUGUGCAACAGGAAGGAUGAAGAAUUCGAGCCUAAAGAAGCCCAGGGGUGUAUCCAGGUCCACAUGGCUCAUGAGGGUUGAGUCUGAACCAGAAUUCAGUCUCCUGAUCUCCGUUCAUAGUCCUUUCUGCCACAUCAAGAGUCUCCCUCUUACAAAUGUGUCAGAUAUUAAGGAAUUCUAGCGAAAUAACCAAAGCAUGAAAACAAUCUUGUGUGAUAAUCUACCAUGAAAUUUCAAUGGAAUUACUGAAAAUAAAAAAUAAAGAUGUCAAUGUAGCACCACAGCAUGAAGCAGCACAUGUAUGCAUUAGUUAAAAAAAAAAAAGACAGAGAGAGAGAUGCAUUCAUUCAAUUGAGUUACUGCCACUCUACAACUGAAUGAAACAGAAACAGAGUGAAAGAUGAAUGCCCCCAACAAUCCACCACAUUAAGCAAAAUGGAAUGAGAAGCACUUUAAUUGGAUAAAAUUUAAGAGCUGAAUUACAAAUGCCAC